rnacentral:rRNA from 1 species
GACGAACGCUGGCGGCGUGCUUAACACAUGCAAGUCGAACGGAAAGGCCCUGCUUUUGUGGGGUGCUCGAGUGGCGAUCGGGUGCGUAACACGUGAGUAACCUGCCCUUGACUUUGGGAUAACUUCAGGAAACUGGGGCUAAUACCGGAUAGGAGCUCACGUUGCAUGGUGGGCGGUGGAAAGUUUAGGCGGUUGGGGAUGGACUCGCGGCUUAUCAGCUUGUUGGUGGGGUAGUGGCUUACCAAGGCUUUGACGGGUAGCCGGCCUGGGAGGGUGACCGGCCACAAUGGGACUGAGAUACGGCCCAGACGGCUACGGGAGGCAGCAGUGGGGAAUAUUACACAAUGGGCGGGAGCCUGAUGCAGCGACGCCGGGUGCGGGAUGACGGCCUUCGGGUUGUAAACCGCUUUCGCCUGUGACGAAGCGUGAGUGACGGUAAUGGGUAAAGAAGCACCGGCUAACUACGUG